CAAAUUAGCUGAAUUAAUCAGGUUUUGAAUUAAAAUGUCAUAGGAUGGAGAAUUUGUAAACACUCUCAAGAAUAACCUUCCCUGACAAGGACUGUACCCAUCUACAGACUGGCCAAAUUGAGAGAAAACAAGACAGUUUAAUCUUUUGAAAGGAGAUGCAGCAGGGCUCUUUCCCUCCUUUCUGUUGGUUUAUAGCAAAGUCUUGUACUUAUCAUAGAAAUUGUACUUUUUUCUGUCUUCUUCAUUCAAAUAUGGUGCAGAUGUAUGGAGUUAAUGUGACAUCCUAAACAACAGCCUCCCCACAGAAAAGUCUCCUAUCCUGGGAGGAGGCAGUUAAGACUUCAAGGCCCUGAAGUCCAUGAGGAACUGUUUUCACUUGCCAGUCCAGGAGCCUGAGGGACAUUGGGAUUCAUGGAAUCAAUUAGCCUUAGGUGUCCGGUUACCUACUGGAUUUCCAUGUUGCAGUUGCUCGAGCGGUGGAGGAGUAGACAAAAUUUCUAAGUUCUAAUGUUGAUUCUGUGAUCCACAUGACUCUUGCUAUGUUACACCGAUUAGACCAGAGAUAUCAAAGAGCUUAUAAGCUAUGCAUGAGCUCUUAUUAAUUGGUAGAUACUGCAUGAACUUCUGUGUUGAGAGCUGUCCCUGUGUGUAUCAGGAGAGAGAUUUCCAGGCCUGGGAUCUGAAAUACCUGGGACCGCUGAUAAAGAUGGGAGCUCCUGAAGAAGCCACAGUGCUGGGGAGUUUCCAGGAAGAAGACAUUCUUGUGCAGAGGCCUGGAGAAUCCCUGCUUCUCAUUUCGAUUUACUGUAGUAACGUUUAA
rnacentral:lncRNA from 13 species